rnacentral:rRNA from 1 species
UACAGAGGUCUCAAGCGUUGUUCGGAUUCAUUGGGCGUAAAGGGUGCGUAGGCUGUGGGGUAAGUCUGGUGUGAAAUCCCGGAGCUCAACUCCGGAACUGCACUGGAUACUGCUUUACUAGAGCACUGGAGAGGGAACUGGAAUUUACGGUGUAGCAGUGAAAUGCGUAGAUAUCGUAAGGAAGACCAGUGGCGAAGGCGGGUCUCUGGGCAGUAACUGACGCUGAGGAGCGAAAGCGUGGGGAGCGAACAGG